GUCCACAGCCCCUCGUGCCCCCGCCCGUGAUGCGCGCCGUCUCCUCCCCCGCGCGACCCCUCCCGUGAUGGCCGCCGCCGCCUACCCCGCGCGACACCAGCCGCCACCUACCCCGCGCGACAACGCCCGUGAUGCCCGCCGCCGCCUACCCCGCGCGACACCACCAAUGGUGCCCUUCCUUCCCCGGCACCCGCAACCCGCCAGCUCCGCGCGAGCCGCCGGCGGGAUACCCGCCUCCCCCGCGCCCCCGCCAGCUCCGCGCGAGGCGCCAGCUCCGCGCGUCCGCCGCAGUGAUGCCGCGCGAUGAAGGCCGCACGGGAGAGACGCUGGGAAAGCCGCUCCUUCCGGCGUUGCAGUGGGGGCGUCCACAGCUGUGCCAUGCCCCCGCCCCGUCCGAGACGCCGACCACGACCCAGGAUUCUCGCUUCCCGUCCACGUCCGUGAUUUUCCCAGCGAAGCUGACCACGCCUCCCUGUACGCACCUCCCGACAUCCUCGCCGACAUGCUCGCACUCCUGUCCCCGUCUGAGAUCCUCGCGUCGGCGCCUUCGGUGGAAGUCCGGAAUCGCCCGGCUCUCCUCCACCGCGCCGCCAGCCUCACUGAGAAGAGUUCAUCUGCCUCCUCCUCAACGCUUGACCCCACCGCCGCUGGAUCCAACACCCUGCCCUCGUCCUUCUUCUCCGACCUACUCACCAGUGACGACGUGGGCACCCUGGCCAGACGCACGCCAUGGACAGCAGGUGGGCAGGAACACCUUCUACGUGGAUCCUCUUCUCCCGUGCUCCUCGACGCACGAGAGCGAGCUCGGACUGGAUCCUCUCCUACCGCUCCAUGCAGGGAGAGUUCUAUAAUUAUUCUGGUUUGUAGUCCGUGAAUUUAUAGUGGAUUGCUUGAGAUACUGGGUAACAGGAAUGCAUGUUUAUGAUUUUCGUUUUGACCUUGCAUUGCAUCUACAAUGACCAGAGGAUGCAGUCUAUGGAUCCAGUUAAUGUGUAUGGAAAUCCAAUGGAAGGUGACAUGAUUACAACAGGGACACCUCUUGUUGUCCCACCACUUAUUGACAUGAUUAGCAAUGACCCAAUUUUUGCCCAUUGCUGAAGAUGGGAUGCAGGAGGCCUCUAUCAAGUAGGUCAAUUACCUCAUUAACAGGGACACCUCUUGUUGCCCCACCACUUAUUGAUAUGAUUAGCAAUGACCCAAUUUUUUGCUCAUUGCUGAAGCAUGGGAUGCAGGAGGCCUCUAUCAAGUAGGUCAAUUUCCUCACUAGAAUGUUUGGUUAGAGUGGAAUGUAAAGGUCUGGACACUCUAUGAAUUCGAUGAUCUCGAGAGCAUCAUUGAUAGGACACUAAAGCGCGAUUUUGACACCGAGGAAGCACUCUGGUUGCUUAAGAUAGGUCUUGUGUGCAUCCCGGAUAGCCCUAAGAUCAAGCCCUCCAUGUCAAUGGUUGCCAAGAUGCUGCAAGGUGAGUGUGCUGUGAGUGACAGGAUCAUGAGGCCUGGCCUGAUCACAGACGUCAUGGACCUGAAAGUCAGGAUGGUAGAGCCGAUUUAGUUCAGCUUGACAUCAUGCUCGAGCACUGCCGCACCGGACCUUGUUGGGGAUUUCCUCGAUUAAAAUAUAAGCUCCUUGAUAUGGUUCUGUAACAUAGUUCUGCAAUGCUCCUUUAUUUAGUUCUUUACUUUUUUUGUUAAGAUAUGAGGUGUAGCGAUACAAUAUGUCUACUAACAGCGUUUGUGUUCUUGAUAGUUCAUUUAGGAUUGAAUGAAGUUACUGGUAUGACCUUGUCGAGACUGAAGUAAGGAGGGAUAGAGCUAAAAACUCUCUUGGCACAACUAUAAAGUUCAAGCUAUAUGGGCGUGUUUGGAUGGCAGCCUCCCAUGCAACUGCCUGGCAGGCAAAUGAUCCUAGCCACACCACAGGCAUAGGAAAUCGAACGGUCGGCAUUGUUUCCUGGGCCAGCUGAUAAAAUCCAUUGAAGUGCAAGAGGCCGAUAAACUUAGGCGUAUAGUGCUGGAUGCUCCAUCCACUGGACAUACACUUAAGCUUCUGUCAGUUUCUGAUUGGAUUGAAAUGUUCCUUACUUUGAGCAUUAAGGACACAUGAGGUGUAGCUAUUGGGCCUCUAACUUGGUUAUCAUGGUUUUGGGCCGUGGGUAGAGCAGGCAAUGCAAGUGCAGUCUGGCACAAUCCUGGUGGUUUGGCAUUGAGUUAUGUUUUCUUUUACUUGAUAAAACAAUCUUGUUCCAUCACUUAGUCAAUAGCUCAAUAUGUCCACCAGUUCUGAUGAUCCAUGUCUGCGCAGUGUUUCUUUUCACAGUUUGCGCUUGCGAACAUCCGAACCCCGUUUUCAUCUUGAAUUCAACUUAUGAUGUAUAUCGGACAGUUCCACCACAUUCUGGCGCCGCCUUCGUCUGAUCCUGGAGGCAAUUGGAGCCGCUGCAAGUCGGAUCCUGGUGGAUGCAGCGCAACACAGAUCGCAACCCUCCAAGGACUGAGAAGUGGAAUGUUGACAUCUCUGAGACAGUCUGAAAGCAAACCGAAGGCAGGGGUGUUCAUCAACUCCUGCUUCGCGCAUUGCUAGAGUGAGCUACAGGACACAUGGUUCGCACCAAAUUCUCCAUCCAUAUAUAACAAGAAAAUUGCAGAGGUGGUAGGUGAUUGGUACUUUGAAAGAGGAGCUGACGUGGAGAUUGACUGCGCCUAUCCCUGUGAUUCACAGUCUUGUCGCAACCUUAUACCAAUUGAUAAGGCUGACCAUCCUAGAUUAAACUUCAAAGACCGGUACCCUGAGCCAUACAGAGAUUCUCAUCCGACUGCCCCCGUUGCUGUGCAUGGAUGUCAGGUGUCAUUACUGUAAUGUAGUGGUGAAAUAGGUAGAUUAAAACAAUGAAAUUUAUAUGUGGCUAGGAUCAUAAAUGAAUUGCAAAAUUUUUUCUCAGAACAGUAUAACACAUAUUUGUACAUAAGUUGUUGUGUUAUUAUAUGUUUCCGUUGCAACGCA